UACGUAGGGGGCAGGCGUUAUCCGGAAUUACUGGGUGUAAAGGGAGCGUAGACGGUAAUGUAAGUCUGGAGUGAAAGGCGGGGGCCCAACCCCCGGACUGCUCUGGAAACUAUGUUACUAGAGUGCAGGAGAGGUAAGCGGAAUUCCUAGUGUAGCGGUGAAAUGCGUAGAUAUUAGGAGGAACACCAGUGGCGAAGGCGGCUUACUGGACUGUAACUGACGUUGAGGCUCGAAAGCGUGGGGAGCAAACAGG
rnacentral:rRNA from 1 species